rnacentral:misc_RNA from 1 species
GAUGAAGAACGUAGUGAAAUGCGAUAAGUAGUGUGAAUUGCAGAAUUCAGUGAAUCAUCGAAUCUUUGAACGCACUUUGCGCCCUUUGGUAUUCCAAAGGGCAUGCCUGUUCGAGCGUCAUUUGUACCCUCAAGCUUUGCUUGGUGUUGGGCGUCUUGUCUCUAGCUUUGCUGGAGACUCGCCUUAAAGUAAUUGGCAGCCGGCCUACUGGUUUCGGAGCGCAGCACAAGUCGCACUCUCUAUCAGCAAAGGUCUAGCAUCCAUUAAGCCUUUUUUUCAACUUUUGACCUCGGAUCAGGUAGGGAUACCCGCUGAACUUAAGCAUAUCAAUAAGCGGAGGA